rnacentral:rRNA from 1 species
CCUACGGGUGGCUGCAGUGGGGAAUAUUGCACAAUGGGGGAAACCCUGAUGCAGCGACGCCGCGUGAGUGAAGAAGUAUUUCGGUACGUAAAGCUCUAUCAGCAGGGAAGAAAAUGACGGUACCUGACUAAGAAGCCCCGGCUAACUACGUGCCAGCAGCCGCGGUAAUACGUAGGGGGCAAGCGUUAUCCGGAUUUACUGGGUGUAAAGGGAGCGUAGACGGCAGCGCAAGUCUGGAGUGAAAUCCCAUGGCUUAACCAUGGAACUGCUUUGGAAACUGUGCAGCUAGAGUGCAGGAGAGGUAAGCGGAAUUCCUAGUGUAGCGGUGAAAUGCUUAGAGAUCAUACAGAACACCGAUUGCGAAGGCAGCUUACCAAGCUACUUCUGACGUUGAGGCACGAAAGCGUGGGGAGCAAACAGGAUUAGAUACCCUAGUAGUC